UGCAAGUCGAACGAACUUAACCAUUAGUUUACUAUUGGAGCGGUUAGUGGCGGACUGGUGAGUAACACGUAAGCAACCUGCCUAUCAGAGGGGAACAACAGUUAGAAAUGACUGCUAAUACCGCAUAUGCCUUAGAAUCACAUGGUUCAAAAGGGAAAGGAGCAAUCCGCUGAUAGAUGGGCUUGCGUCUGAUUAGCUAGUUGGUGGGGUAACGGCCUACCAAGGCGACGAUCAGUAGCCGAACUGAGAGGUUGAACGGCCACAUUGGGACUGAGAUACGGCCCAGACUCCUACGGGAGGCAGCAGUCGGGAAUAUUGCGCAAUGGAGGAAACUCUGACGCAGUGACGCCGCGUGCAGGAAGAAGGUUUUCGGAUUGUAAACUGCUUAGACAGGGAAGAACAAAGACAGUACCUGUAGAAUAAGCUCCGGCUAACUACGUGCCAGCAGCCGCGGUAAUACGUAGGGAGCGAGCGUUAUCCGGAUUUAUUGGGUGUAAAGGGUGCGUAGACGGGAAGUCAAGUUAGUUGUGAAAUCCCUCGGCUUAACUGAGGAACUGCAACUAAAACUGAUUUUCUUGAGUACUUGAGAGGAAAGUGGAAUUCCUAGUGUAGCGGUGAAAUGCGUAGAUAUUAGGAGGAACACCGGUGGCGAAGGCGACUUUCUGGACAGAAACUGACGUUGAGGCACGAAAGUGUGGGGAGCAAACAGGAUUAGAUACCCUGGUAGUCCACACCGUAAACGAUGGAUACUAGGUGUAGGGAAUAUUAAAAUUCUCUGUGCCGCCGCUAACGCAAUAAGUAUCCCACCUGGGGAGUACGGCCGCAAGGUUGAAACUCAAAGGAAUUGACGGGGGCCCGCACAAGCAGUGGAGUAUGUGGUUUAAUUCGACGCAACGCGAAGAACCUUACCAGGG
rnacentral:rRNA from 1 species